rnacentral:rRNA from 1 species
GGCGGUGAUUUAACUAAUCAGAGGAAUUUGUCCCUUAAUCGAUAGCCCCCGUUAUAACUUACUUAAUCUAGUCGACAGCUUGUAUACCGCCGUCAGCAGGAAAUUUUAUGAAAAUAUUUUCAAGAAAUUCUAAAAUUAGAUGUCAGGUCAAGGUGCAGCUCAUGGUUGAGGGGAGGUGAAUUACAAUAAUUUUAAUUACACGGAGUUAAAAUGAAAACUACAAUGAAGGUGGAUU